rnacentral:rRNA from 1 species
AUCAAUAAGCGGAGGAAAAGAAACCAACAGGGAUUGCCCCAGUAACGGCGAGUGAAGCGGCAACAGCUCAAAUUUGAAAUCUGGCCCCUCGGGGUCCGAGUUGUAAUUUGUAGAGGAUGCUUUUGGUGAGGUGCCGCCCGAGUUCCCUGGAACGGGACGCCACAGAGGGUGAGAGCCCCGUCUGGCUGGCCGCCGAGCCUCUGUAAAGCUCCUUCGACGAGUCGAGUAGUUUGGGAAUGCUGCUCAAAAUGGGAGGUAUAUGUCUUCUAAAGCUAAAUAUUGGCCAGAGACCGAUAGCGCACAAGUAGAGUGAUCGAAAGAUGAAAAGCACCUUGAAAAGAGGGUUAAAUAGUACGUGAAAUUGUUGAAAGGGAAGCGCUUGUGACCAGACUUGGGCGCGGCGGAUCAUCCGGGGUUCUCUCCGGUGCACUUCGCCGCGUCUGGGCCAGCAUCAGUUCGUCGCGGGGGAAAAAGGCUUCGGGAACGUGGCUCCUCCGGGAGUGUUAUAGCCCGUUGCAUAAUACCCUGCGGUGGACUGAGGACCGCGCAUCUGCAAGGAUGCUGGCGUAAUGGUCACCAGCGACCCGUCUUGAAACACGGACCAAGGAGUCGUCUUCGUAUGCGAGUGUUCGGGUGUCAAACCCCUACGCGUAAUGAAAGUGAACGCAGGUGAGAGCUUCGGCGCAUCAUCGACCGAUCCUGAUGUUCUCGGAUGGAUUUGAGUAAGAGCAUACGGGGCCGGACCCGAAAGAAGGUGAACUAUGCCUGUAUAGGGUGAAGCCAGAGGAAACUCUGGUGGAGGCUCGCAGCGGUUCUGACGUGCAAAUCGAUCGUCAAAUAUGGGCAUGGGGGGCGAAAGACUAAUCGAACCUUCUAGUAGCUGGUUUCC